UUUAGAAAUCCUUAACAAACCUUUAUAAAACUUCAAUGGACAUGCUCUAAGAGAUAGUAAGACGUAAGAAAUGGUGGUAAGAGAGAAUAAUAAUAACAAAACUAUGGGUGAUAAAAAGAUUGAGUAAAUAAUUUCAUUUGAGCGCGCGAGUGGAUCUAACGUGCUUAACAUAUUUUUUCUCUAGACAACAGCUUCGUUAAUUUUGUUAAUACCGCGAGGGUCCCCCCCUUUCUUUUCCUUUGUGUUUGCUCUUCAUGAUGGAUCUGGUUGCGAAGUGAGGCUUGAAGAAUCGACGGCUCCUUCUCCGGUGGUGCUGUGGCGUGGUUCAACCGACGCGGCGAGACGGUGUUGUGGCAGAUAUAACGGCGAGCGAGCGAGAAGCUUUCCAGAUGCUCCGGAGCUGCUUGAGGGCACGGCGAACGAGAUGUGAGAGGAACUCUGGCGGCUGGAAUAGAUGCUGCGGUGAAGUUGCGGAUUUCGUCGCGGCGGCUAGGUGGGUUGCACUACAGGCUAAGGAAGUAUCGUGGUGGUCGUCUCCGACCUAUGCGGGUAAACAGUUCAUCACAUCGACAGAUGGGUAGGUUCUCUUCCUUGUUGCUAAUAGGCUGUCUCUGGUUCCUUAGCCGGAUUGAAGGUUCGGUUGGUAUAAUCGGCCACCGGUGAGUUGUUGAGGGGUUCGAUUUUAGGUGAUGGUGAACUUAUGCUCAAAUUUCGUCGAGGUGUCUUUUCUAUUUAACUGUGGCUUCUUUUGACCGGCUUUGUUCUCGCCGGGAGAUUUCGAGUGGGGAUCAGGCCUCGUCGAUUAGAUUUGGAAGCUGAGGUCGGCUCUCGGCUGACAUUAACGAUCUUGCGAUGUGCCGCAAAGCUCAAAUCUUGUAGCCGUCAGUGAGGAUGUCGAUCGGCAAAAGAAAUCUUUCAACUUUUUCUUCAAAUUUUAUCUCUCUUUCGGUGGUGUUUCUCCGAUCAACCUCAUCUCAACUUCCGGUUUAGUUUGAUUAAUUUUAUUUCGGUUAUCAUUUUGUAAACAAGUUCAAAUUCCCGGUUUGAGUGAUAUUUAAUAUAAUAUUAUUAUUAAAAAAAAAAAAAAACAAUGGGUGAUUUUGCGGUAGUCACACGUGGUUG
rnacentral:lncRNA from 1 species